ACAAACAAAGAAACAAAAAACUUUGCAUUCAUUCUCCAAGCCCACGUGUAAUCCGUUUCUUCCCAUAGAGCAAGGCAAGAACCGGGGAUACAGAAAGCCCUCUGUCCUUUGCAAUAAGGCAAGGGUCUAACUGAGUUGACUAACACAAGCCGCCUAUAGACGGCAAACUAAAAGAGCACCCUGUAACACACGCCCUCUGAGCCUUCAGCUGUAAACAUUCACCCCUAGACACUGCCGUGGGGUUGGAGCCCCACAGCCUGCGGGUCUGUGUGCUCCCACAGAGGUCUGAGCAGCCGGGCACUCAAGAAGCGAUCCAUACGCCAUCGCACGCCCUGUGAGGGCGACAAAGGAACUUUUGCCGUUUCACUAUAGCAGCACCACACACCUCUUUUUAGGGAAUGAACUUAUGGUUGUAACAAAGAUAAAAUCACUGCAGAAAAAAAAAAAUCCCAAAAUAUCAUGUUAAUCAAACACAAAGUACAAAAGGCAUUGGAUUAAUGUUAGAAACUUGAUUGGGUUUGCAACUGAGAGAGAAUCACAAGGAAUGAGAGCACAUUUCCCUUUCUUCAUUGUUAUGAGAAUUGUUAGUGUACUUCAAACGUAUACUAUUUUUAGUCCUUUUAAAAUCAUUCAGAGCCUCAGUCCAGCAAGAUUCAUUUUAGAGGCACUGGUUCCUUAACAGCUAAACUCAAAAUAUGUUGUCGGAAAGAAAUGGCAUUAUGGAACACAUCGUGUUUAAAUACGCGACGUGUUGAAGAGCGUGUCUUGGUUCUUAAUCUUGAGAUCCACAGCAAAUGUGGAUGCUGAUAUGCAAGAUUCAGAGUAUAUAUUAACCUCCUUUUCCUUCUAGUGGCAAGAAAUUUAAGAUGGAAUUUAGAUUUCAGAAAACAUAACUGGUAACGUAUAUAACACUGAGAAAGAAACAAUCGUCCCUUUAUUGGAGUGAUUCUGUAGGUUUUAUUUAGUUUUCUUACUGCAAGGCUCCUUCCACCACCAUCACAGUGAUUUUUGUUGGACAUAGCUUGAACUCCUCCAUCAGAAUUAAAGAAGGAACAAACAAAUCCCCUUUCCUGCUAUAGAACAAAAGCAAACAAACAAAAGAAGCCCUACAACCCUCCUGCUGGUUCCAUCCCUCUGCUGGCCUCCUGCAGCUUGGUUCUUGCUGUUCUAUCCCUAAGCCAACUGCAGGCAGGCUGACCAUCUGCUGCUAGGUCACAGCUGCCUCUUCAAAAUUAGGCUCUGGUUCCUCUGUCCCAUUUUAAACGCCUGAUUAUUGUUAUCUGUUCCUUUUACCAUCUGCUGAAAAGCUGCCAAAACAGGUCUCUAUUUGGAAUCAUUGGUCUUGAAUAUUCCUUUAAGACAUAUAUAUCUCAUCUCUUAUUUUCUAGACAAGUAUCAUACACACAGAGUUCUUUCCUAAAGUAAUGGUCCCUUCUCUGAUAGAAUCCAGACUCUCAACUUCAGGCAGGUGCUUCAGGAGGUUUUCCAGAAGAAGGCAUUGCUAUCACAGCAGAUGGCAGCUCCAUGCAGUGGGACAAGAUGUGAAACUAGAAGAUGCUGGUAUUGAUGAUCCUGGCCCUGCGUAGGCCUAGGCCAAUAUAUGUAUUUGUAUCUUCGUUUUUAAUAAAGUUUAAAAAGUAAAGAAAAAAAUUGAAAAACAAUUGUAGAAUAAAGAUGUAGAGAAACUAGUCAAAAGUUAAAAAAUAAAGUUUAUAAUAAUGUUA